UACGUAGGGUGCAAGCGUUGUCCGGAAUUAUUGGGCGUAAAGAGCUCGUAGGCGGUCUGUCACGUCGGCUGUGAAAACCCGAGGCUCAACCUCGGGCCUGCAGUCGAUACGGGCAAACUAGAGUACUGCAGGGGAGACUGGAAUUCCUGGUGUAGCGGUGAAAUGCGCAGAUAUCAGGAGGAACACCGGUGGCGAAGGCGGGUCUCUGGGCAGUAACCGACGCUGAGGAGCGAAAGCGUGGGGAGCGAACAGG
rnacentral:rRNA from 1 species